UACGUAGGGUGCGAGCGUUAAUCGGAAUUACUGGGCGUAAAGCGUGCGCAGGCGGUUUGGUAAGACAGAUGUGAAAUCCCCGGGCUUAACCUGGGAAUUGCAUUUGUGACUGCCCGGCUAGAGUGUGUCAGAGGGGGGUAGAAUUCCACGUGUAGCAGUGAAAUGCGUAGAGAUGUGGAGGAAUACCGAUGGCGAAGGCAGCCCCCUGGGCCAAUACUGACGCUCAUGCACGAAAGCGUGGGGAGCAAACAGG
rnacentral:rRNA from 1 species